CAGUCGCGCGGGAAUACGUAGGUGGCAAGCGUUGUCCGGAAUUAUUGGACGUAAAGGGCUCGCAGGCGGUUUCUUAAGUCUGAUGUGAAAGCCCCCGGCUCAACCGGGGAGGGUCAUUGGAAACUGGGAAACUUGAGUGCAGAAGAGGAGAGUGGAAUUCCACGUGUAGCGGUGAAAUGCGUAGAGAUGUGGAGGAACACCAGUGGCGAAGGCGACUCUCUGGUCUGUAACUGACGCUGAGGAGCGAAAGCGUGGGGAGCGAACAGGAUUAGAUACCCGCGUAGUCCCUGUCUCUUAUACC
rnacentral:rRNA from 1 species